ensembl:lncRNA
UUUUGCUGGAGAUCCCUGCCUGCCUGAGGUCUUCUAAAGCGUAGCUGCAGCAUCCCGAGGAUGUGACACAGGAGAUGGAAGUUGUCAGGAGAGCCACACACCUCCAGCAUCCUCCAGAGCGUGCAUAUGGAGCUGACACUCAAUAAAUAAUACAGGAUUCAGGAUUGAGAUGCAGGGAAGCGCUGUGCUCAGAUGGAGUGCUGUAGGCUCAGAUUGCUGCCCAAUGUCCUGGAGUGGGAAGGGGAAAGCAUCAGUGGGGCAGAAGAGCCCAGACCGGUGUUAGUCCUUGGCAGAAGAGCUUUUCCUUGCUUGGAGCAAGCAGCAGCACUGGGCUUGGGGUUACAUUCAGUGCUCUGUGCUCCCCACUGCCAGGCUGCGAUCUGCUGAUGCUCUAUGCGGUAAUUAAUGCACCGCUAAUUGGAUUUCCAGGGCCUGGAGCUGAGGGGCAGCGGCUGCAGCAGGGGAAGGGACUGAGAGCUUUGCCCACAUCCCCCAGCAUAGCUCUGCACCCGAUGCCCCACUGCUGAUAGUGAUGGGCACCACUUCUCCCCUUCUCCAACAAUCCAUUGCCCGUCUGCAUUAAUGCCUUCCCUCCUUUUUGGUCACCUAAUUCAACAGAGGGGAUUAAAGCAUAACUCCCAU